rnacentral:rRNA from 1 species
UUGGAGGGCAAGUCUGGUGCCAGCAGCCGCGGUAAUUCCAGCUCCAAUAGCGUAUAUUAAAGUUGUUGCAGUUAAAAAGCUCGUAGUUGAAUUUCGGGAUCAAUAUGCCGGUCAUGCCUUGGUAUGCACUGGUAUCUUUGAUUUCUCCCUUCUGACGAACUUUGAUGUCAUUAAUUUGGUGUCAUAGGGAAUCAGGACUGUUACUUUGAAAAAAUUAGAGUGUUUAAAGCAGGCUCACGCUUGAAUACAUUAGCAUGGAAUAAUGAAAUAGGACGUUUGAUUCUAUUUUGUUGGUUUCUAGGAUCACCGUAAUGAUUAAUAGGGAUAGUUGGGGGCAUUAGUAUUCAAUUGUCAGAGGUGAAAUUCUUGGAUUUAUUGAAGACUAACUACUGCGAAAGCAUUUGCCAAGGAUGUUUUCAUUAAUCAAGAACGAAAGUUAGGGGAUCGAAGACGAUCAGAUACCGUCGUAGUCUUAACCAUAAACUAUGCCGACUAGGGAUCGGAUGAUGUUAAUUUUUUAAUGACUCAUUCGGCGCCUUACGGGAAAC